CUCUGCCAGUGAGCACAAAGCCAACUAUUCUUUCCCCUUAUACUAAGGAAUACCGUGUGCCUCGCUGCUAUCAGUAGCAUACGAAUAAUUUUUAGAUGGUGCUUCUCUGUGGAGUGGCU